UGGGGAAUAUUGCACAAUGGGCGCAAGCCUGAUGCAGCCAUGCCGCGUGUAUGAAGAAGGCCUUCGGGUUGUAAAGUACUUUCAGUCGGGAGGAAGGUGUCAAGGUUAAUAACCUUGGCAAUUGACGUUACCGACAGAAGAAGCACCGGCUAACUCCGUGCCAGCAGCCGCGGUAAUACGGAGGGUGCAAGCGUUAAUCGGAAUUACUGGGCGUAAAGCGCACGCAGGCGGUCUGUCAAGUCGGAUGUGAAAUCCCCGGGCUCAACCUGGGAACUGCAUUCGAAACUGGCAGGCUAGAGUCUUGUAGAGGGGGGUAGAAUUCCAGGUGUAGCGGUGAAAUGCGUAGAGAUCUGGAGGAAUACCAGUGGCGAAGGCGGCCCCCUGGACAAAGACUGACGCUCAGGUGCGAAAGCGUGGGGAGCAAACAGG
rnacentral:rRNA from 1 species